CUAUAAUUGACCCCUUUCUCUUAUUUCCCUCAGGCUUACAUCCUUCUGGAAUCACUGAAACUGGAGGUGCAGGGGGGAAGCAGCUGCUGGGUUCAGCCUUCACAGUUCAGAUCCUCCCAGGAGAGAGGAUAUCCUCCAUGGCGGCUGGGUAACUAAGACAAUACAGUGGAAUGCGCGGCAAGAGGCUUAUUUCUAAUAAGGAAGCAUUCACAUCCUAUGUUUCAUUUGGGGGAGUCGGAGAAUACUUUGGAACCAUGUUAAUGGAGACUGAACAGCAGAAGGAGGAACUGUACUCUCCACACUGAUAGUUUCUGUUGGCAGAUAAAUGCUCAAUUAUUCUUUUCACUUUACCUAAGGAUAUAUUUUCCAUGUAAGUCUGUAAAAGAUAAAAAUGGUUAUUAAACAAGUUCUUUUUUAUUUUAAAAAGACAGGGUCUCUCUGUGUUCCCCAGGCAAGCCCUGAACUCCUAGGCCCAAGC
rnacentral:lncRNA from 1 species